rnacentral:rRNA from 1 species
UGAGCAACCUGCCCUUGACUCUGGAAUAACAGCUGGAAACAGCUGCUAAUACCGGAUACGACCUCCGAUGGCAUCAUCUGGAGGUGGAAAGCUCCGACGGUCAAGGAUGGGCUCGCGGCCUAUCAGCUUGUUGGUGAGGUAACGGCUCACCAAGGCUUCGACGGGUAGCCGGCCUGAGAGGGCGACCGGCCACACUGGGACUGAGAUACGGCCCAGACCUCUACGGGA